rnacentral:misc_RNA from 1 species
GUUUAAUACAAGCAACCCUGAAAAUCGCCUAUAUAAAGUGUAUAAAAAUUUAGUCUUUGCCUCAUCAAAGAAAAUUCAUCUUAUAGAGAAUUUUAAUUUAAGAAGUUUAUCAUCAUCAUGUCUCUGCUUUCAGAUCUUAUCAACCUCAAUCUCUCAGGUGAUACUCAGAAGAUCAUUGCUGAAUACAUAUGGAUUGGUGGAUCAGGCAUGGACAUGAGGAGCAAAGCCAGGACUCUCCCUGGUCCAGUUACUAGUCCUGCAGAACUACCCAAAUGGAACUACGAUGGAUCGAGCACUGGUCAAGCUCCCGGAGAAGACAGUGAAGUGAUCUUAUAUCCACAAGCAAUCUUCAAGGACCCAUUCAGAAGAGGCAACAACAUCUUGGUCAUGUGUGAUGCCUAUACUCCUGCUGGUGAGCCCAUCCCAACAAACAAGAGGCACGCCGCCGCCAAGGUCUUCAGCCACCCUGAUGUGGCUGCUGAGGAAACUUGGUAUGGUAUUGAACAAGAAUAUACCUUGCUGCAAAGGGAGGUCAACUGGCCUCUUGGAUGGCCCAUUGGCGGUUUUCCUGGCCCCCAGGGACCAUACUACUGUGGAACCGGAGCUGACAAGGCCUUUGGACGUGACAUUGUUGACGCCCAUUACAAGGCUUGUCUCUAUGCUGGGAUUAACAUCAGCGGGAUCAAUGGUGAAGUCAUGCCGGGACAGUGGGAAUUUCAAGUUGGACCUUCUGUUGGCAUCUCAGCUGGUGAUGAAGUGUGGGUAGCUCGUUACAUUCUAGAGAGGAUUGCAGAGAUUGCUGGGGUGGUCGUGUCAUUCGACCCCAAGCCUAUUCCGGGCGACUGGAAUGGUGCAGGUGCUCACACAAAUUACAGCACCAAGUCGAUGAGGGAAGACGGAGGCUAUGAAAUAAUCUUAAAGGCUAUUGAGAAGCUUGGCUUGAAGCACAAAGAACACAUAGCUGCAUAUGGUGAAGGCAACGAGCGUCGUCUCACUGGAAAGCACGAAACAGCCAACAUCAACACAUUCAAAUGGGGGGUUGCAAACCGUGGUGCAUCUGUCCGUGUUGGAAGAGACACAGAGAAGGCAGGCAAGGGAUACUUUGAGGACAGAAGGCCAGCCUCAAAUAUGGACCCAUACGUCGUUACCUCCAUGAUUGCAGAAACCACCAUCAUCGGUUAACCUUGAAGACUUGAUAGUAUGAAUUUGCUCGAGGGAUCGCUUGUUUCUGGUUUGCACAAUUUGGGAUAGGAGAAAAGAUUGAAUUGUGGAACGACCCUUUGGACUUCACCUGUGUUAUUUAGUUAUAGGGAUAGUUUGUCUCUGGUUAUUUUUCUGUUUAUUUGCCCCAGUUGAAUUGUAUUUUCAUACAGCAAAGCCUUAUUUCAUUGCCUAUGAUUUGGCAAUGCUGUGUUACAAAUGUUAUUCUUAUUAAUAACAAAGAUAUUGAAAGGGU